rnacentral:rRNA from 1 species
AGCGAAAGUUACGCUAAUACCGCAUACGAUCUACGGAUGAAAGUGGGGGACCUUCGGGCCUCAUGCUUUUGGAGCGGCCGAUAUCUGAUUAGCUAGUUGGUGAGGUAAAGGCUCACCAAGGCGACGAUCAGUAGCUGGUCUGAGAGGACGACCAGCCACACUGGAACUGAGACACGGUCCAGACUCCUACGGGAGGCAGCAGUGGGGAAUUUUGGACAAUGGGCGCAAGCCUGAUCCAGCAAUGCCGCGUGAGUGAAGAAGGCCUUCGGGUUGUAAAGCUCUUUUGUCAGGGAAGAAACGGCUCCGGCUAAUAUCCGGAGCUAAUGACGGUACCUGAAGAAUAAGCACCGGCUAACUACGUGCCAGCAGCCGCGGUAAUACGUAGGGUGCAAGCGUUAAUCGGAAUUACUGGGCGUAAAGCGUGCGCAGGCGGUUUUGUAAGUCUGAUGUGAAAGCCCCGGGCUCAACCUGGGAAUUGCAUUGGAGACUGCAAGGCUUGAAUCUGGCAGAGGGGGGUAGAAUUCCACGUGUAGCAGUGAAAUGCGUAGAGAUGUGGAGGAACACCGAUGGCGAAGGCAGCCCCCUGGGUCAAGAUUGACGCUCAUGCACGAAAGCGUGGGGAGCAAACAGGAUUAGAUACCCUGGUAGUCCACGCCCUAAACGAUGUCUACUAGUUGUCGGGUUUUAAUUAACUUGGUAACGCAGCUAACGCGUGAAGUAGACCGCCUGGGGAGUACGGUCGCAAGAUUAAAACUCAAAGGAAUUGACGGGGACCCGCACAAGCGGUGGAUGAUGUGGAUUAAUUCGAUGCAACGCGAAAAACCUUACCUACCCUUGACAUGGA